AGAGUUUGAUCCUGGCUCAGAUUGAACGCUGGCGGCAUGCCUUACACAUGCAAGUCGAACGGCAGCGCGGGGCAACCUGGCGGCGAGUGGCGAACGGGUGAGUAAUAUAUCGGAACGUGCCCUGGAGUGGGGGAUAACGCAGCGAAAGUUGCGCUAAUACCGCAUACGAUCUAAGGAUGAAAGCAGGGGACCGCAAGGCCUUGUGCUCCUGGAGCGGCCGAUAUCUGAUUAGCUAGUUGGUGGGGUAAAGGCCUACCAAGGCAUCGAUCAGUAGCUGGUCUGAGAGGACGACCAGCCACACUGGAACUGAGACACGGUCCAGACUCCUACGGGAGGCAGCAGUGGGGAAUUUUGGACAAUGGGCGCAAGCCUGAUCCAGCAAUGCCGCGUGAGUGAAGAAGGCCUUCGGGUUGUAAAGCUCUUUUGUCAGGGAAGAAACGGUGCGGGCUAAUAUCCUGUGCUAAUGACGGUACCUGAAGAAUAAGCACCGGCUAACUACGUGCCAGCAGCCGCGGUAAUACGUAGGGUGCAAGCGUUAAUCGGAAUUACUGGGCGUAAAGCGUGCGCAGGCGGUUUUGUAAGUCUGACGUGAAAUCCCCGGGCUCAACCUGGGAAUUGCGUUGGAGACUGCAAGGCUAGAAUCUGGCAGAGGGGGGUAGAAUUCCACGUGUAGCAGUGAAAUGCGUAGAGAUGUGGAGGAACACCGAUGGCGAAGGCAGCCCCCUGGGUCAAGAUUGACGCUCAUGCACGAAAGCGUGGGGAGCAAACAGGAUUAGAUACCCUGGUAGUCCACGCCGUAAACGAUGAGUGCUAGACGUCGGGGAGCUUGCUCUUCGGUGUCGCCGCUAACGCAUUAAGCACUCCGCCUGGGGAGUACGGUCGCAAGAUUAAAACUCAAAGGAAUUGACGG
rnacentral:rRNA from 1 species